AUCGAACGCUGGCGGCAGGCCUAACACAUGCAAGUCGAACGAGUGGCGGACGGGUGAGUAAUGUCUGGGAAACUGCCUGCUGGAGGGGGAUAACUACUGGAAACGGUAGCUAAUACCGCAUACCAUCAGAUGUGCCCAGAUGGGAUUAGCUGGUUGGGGGGGGAACGGCUCACCAAGGCAACGAUCCCUAGCUGGUCUGAGAGGAUGACCAGCCACACGGGAACUGUGAAACGGUCAAGACGCCUACGUGAGGCAGCAGUGGGGAAUAGUGCACAAUGGGCGCAAGCCUGAAGCAGCCAUGCCGCGUGUAUGAAGAGGGCAUGCGGGUUGUAAAGUACUUACAGCGGGGAGGCGUUACCCACAGAAGAAGCACCGGCUAACUCCGUGCCAGCAGCCGCGGUAAUUC
rnacentral:rRNA from 1 species